UGGGGAAUAUUGCACAAUGGGGGAAACCCUGAUGCAGCGACGCCGCGUGAGCGAAGAAGGCUUUCGAGUCGUAAAGCUCUGUCCUAUGAGAAGAUAAUGACGGUAUCAUAGGAGGAAGCCCUGGCUAAAUACGUGCCAGCAGCCGCGGUAAUACGUAUGGGGCGAGCGUUGUCCGGAAUUAUUGGGCGUAAAGGGUACGUAGGUGAUUUUUUAAGUCAGGUGUCAAAGCGUGGAGCUUAACUCCAUUAAGCACUUGAAACUGAAAGACUUGAGUGAAGGAGAGGAAAGUGGAAUUCCUAGUGUAGCGGUGAAAUGCGUAGAUAUUAGGAGGAAUACCGGUGGCGAAGGCGACUUUCUGGACUUUUACUGACGCUCAGGUACGAAAGCGUGGGGAGCAAACAGG
rnacentral:rRNA from 1 species